GCAGUGUUGGUUCAGUGGUAGAAUUCUCAGCUUCCAUGCGAGAGACCCAGGUUCAAUUCCUGGCCAAUGCA
rnacentral:tRNA from 1 species